rnacentral:rRNA from 1 species
GAUGAACGCUGGCGGCGUGCUUAAUACAUGCAAGUCGAGCGAACGGACGCUAAGCUUGUUUUUCGGUCGUUAGCGGCACACGGGUGUGUAACACGUGGAUAACCUACUUAUAAUUCUGGGAUAAUUUCGGGAAACGGGCGCUAAUACCGGAGAAUAUUUUGAACCGCAUUGUUCAAUAGUGAAAGACGGCCUUUCUGUCACUUAUAGCUGGAUCCGCGCUGCAUUAGCUGGUUGGUGAGGUAACGGCUUACCAAGGCAACGAUGCAUAGACGAGGGCAGAGGGGGGUAGGCCACCCGAGAACUUGACCGCGGACCAGGCUCCUGAGAGAGGGAGCAGUAUGGAAUGGGCGGCAGUGGGGGAGAGCAUGACGGAGCAGCGCCGAGUGAGUGAUGACGGUCUCCGGAGCGUAAUACUCUGUUAUUAGGGGUGAACAUAUGUGUACGUAGCUGAGCACAGCUUGACGGUACCGGGUCAGAAAGCCCCGGCUAACUACGUG